UACAGAGGAUGCGAGCGUUAUCCGGAUUUAUUGGGUUUAAAGGGUGCGUAGGCGGACUGUCAAGUCAGCGGUAAAAUACGGGGGCUCAACCUCCGCCCGCCGUUGAAACUGACGGUCUUGAGUGGGCGAGAAGUAUGCGGAAUGCGUGGUGUAGCGGUGAAAUGCAUAGAUAUCACGCAGAACUCCGAUUGCGAAGGCAGCAUACCGGCGCCCAACUGACGCUGAAGCACGAAAGCGCGGGUAUCGAACAGG
rnacentral:rRNA from 1 species